GGCCGCGGGAAUUCGAUUAGAGUUUGAUCAUGGCUCAGGAUGAACGCUGGCGGUAUGCCUAACACAUGCAAGUCGUACGAGAGUUUUUAACUCUAGUGGCGGACGGGUGAGUAACACGUGAGAAUUUGCCUUUAGGAGGGGGAUAACAAUUGGAAACGAAUGCUAAUACCCCAUAUGCUUUCGAGUGAAAUGAAUUUUUUAUUUGCCUAAAGAGAAGCUCGCGGCUGAUUAGCUUGUUGGUAAGGUAAGAGCUUACCAAGGCGACGAUCAGUAUCUGGUUUGAGAGGACGAUCAGACACACUGGAACUGAGACACGGUCCAGACUCCUACGGGAGGCAGCAGUGGGGAAUUUUCCGCAAUGGGCGAAAGCCUGACGGAGCAAUACCGCGUGAGGGAAGAAUGCCUAUGGGUUGUAAACCUCUUUUUUCAGGGAGGAAUAAAUGACGUGUACCUGAAGAAUAAGCAUCGGCUAACUCCGUGCCAGCAGCCGCGGUAAGACGGAGGAUGCAAGUGUUAUCCGGAAUCACUGGGCGUAAGCGUCUGUAGGUGGU
rnacentral:rRNA from 1 species